UACGAAGGGGGCUAGCGUUGUUCGGAAUUACUGGGCGUAAAGCGCACGUAGGCGGAUAUUUAAGUUAGGGGUGAAAUCCCAGGGCUCAACCCUGGAACUGCCUCUAAUACUGGGUAUCUAGAGUCCGAGAGAGGUGAGUGGAAUUCCGAGUGUAGAGGUGAAAUUCGUAGAUAUUCGGAGGAACACCAGUGGCGAAGGCGGCUCACUGGCUCGGGACUGACGCUGAGGUGCGAAAGCGUGGGGAGCAAACAGU
rnacentral:rRNA from 1 species